rnacentral:rRNA from 1 species
GUAAAAGUCGUAACAAGGUUUCCGUAGGUGAACCUGCGGAAGGAUCAUUACCGAGUGCGGGUCCUUUGGGCCCAACCUCCCAUCCGUGUCUAUUGUACCCUGUUGCUUCGGCGGGCCCGCCGCUUGUCGGCCGCCGGGGGGGCGCCUCUGCCCCCCGGGCCCGUGCCCGCCGGAGACCCCAACACGAACACUGUCUGAAAGCGUGCAGUCUGAGUUGAUUGAAUGCAAUCAGUUAAAACUUUCAACAAUGGAUCUCUUGGUUCCGGCAUCGAUGAAGAACGCAGCGAAAUGCGAUAACUAAUGUGAAUUGCAGAAUUCAGUGAAUCAUCGAGUCUUUGAACGCACAUUGCGCCCCCUGGUAUUCCGGGGGGCAUGCCUGUCCGAGCGUCAUUGCUGCCCUCAAGCCCGGCUUGUGUGUUGGGUCGCCGUCCCCCUCUCCGGGGGGACGGGCCCGAAAGGCAGCGGCGGCACCGCGUCCGAUCCUCGAGCGUAUGGGGCUUUGUCACAUGCUCUGUAGGAUUGGCCGGCGCCUGCCGACGUUUUCCAACCAUUCUUUCCAGGUUGACCUCGGAUCAGGUAGGGAUACCCGCUGAACUUAA